UGUUUUUAGACGUAUCCGGGUAACCCCGAGAGGGGUUAAAAAGGGAAUCCCGUGAGCCGCCGUUGGCGGCAAAUCGGGAACGGACCCGCCACUGUGAGCGGAGACGAAACCCGCGAAAAGCCACUGGUCUUUGCAGGCCGGGAAGGCGCGGGGAGUAGGCGAUUUAUCCGCAAGUCAGGAGACCUGCCUGGGUAUGCCUCACGGG
rnacentral:ncRNA from 2 species